UACGGGGGGGGCAAGCGUUGUUCGGAAUUACUGGGCGUAAAGGGCGCGUAGGCGGCCCUCUAAGUCAGACGUGAAAUCCCACGGCUCGACCGUGGAACUGCGUCUGAUACUGGAGGGCUUGAAUCCGGGAGAGGGAUGUGGAAUUCCAGGUGUAGCGGUGAAAUGCGUAGAUAUCUGGAGGAACACCGGUGGCGAAGGCGGCAUCCUGGACCGGUAUUGACGCUGAGGCGCGAAAGCUAGGGGAGCAAACGGGG
rnacentral:rRNA from 1 species